rnacentral:rRNA from 1 species
UACGUAGGUCGCAAGCGUUGUCCGGAUUUACUGGGCGUAAAGAGCGCGCAGGCGGCUGGUCAAGUCCGAUGUGAAAUCUCCCGGCUCAACUGGGAAACUGCAUCGGAAACUGAUCGGCUUGAAGAUGGGAGAGGGUAGUGGAAUUCCCGGUGUAGUGGUGAAAUGCGUAGAUAUCGGGAGGAACACCAGUGGCGAAGGCGGCGACCUGGGUAGAUACUGACGCUGAGGCGCGAAAGCGUGGGGAGCAAACAGG